CAUAUCGAUGCCUUAGGAAACAGUGAAGAUUAGAUCUCCGAGGUCAGCCGGUGUGUAAUUGGAAUCUCGGGGCUAGGAGAACACAGUCAGAUUUACACAGGGCUUCUUGUCUCUAGGGAUUCUUUUAUUUUUUUUUGCUAUCAUAUCAUCUCUGAUAGAGCAAAACUGCUUGUUUUAGCUCUUGAUAGAAAAGUAACUUCCCUUGUCCAUUUUUUCACAAGCAAUGUAUAAACAGGAAGAAAGUGGAAAGCCUGUCAUUAUGUGUAGCAGUACCCACUUUUGGUUAUAUGCCACAGAGAGGGAUGUGGAUUUGAGGGUAGAAGAUCUGGGUUUGAGUCCAGUUCUGCCUUGGGAUAUUUGUAUAUGAAACUUCUCCAUGAAAGCAGGGAUCAUCUUUGCCCGUUUAUUUCUUUUCCACUGCUGAACCUUGGUAUUAGAACUGUGCUUUACCACACAAAAGAUAUUCAGGUAAAUGUUUGCUAAAUGAGUGAAAAAUUCUGGGUAUAUAAAUUUUUUUUUCCUGUAACAGAUUUUUUUUGUCAUAAACAUCUUACACAAGUUGAUGUGUCCGUGUGUGCAUGUGUAUUUUAUUUAUAUCCUUAGAAUCAAUUCCAAGAUCAUUGUGUAAAAGGGCAUGGACCAUUUUAUAACUUGUUAAACAUUUCCAGGUUAAUCUCAGAAAAUACUGAACCAAUUUACAAUGCCAUCAACCUUGUAAAUUUGUUCAGGGUAUCAGUUUCCCAAUGCCAACUCUUAAAGGAAUUUAGAAUGAUUAACAAUUGGGCUAGUUACUUAUGUCUCUGAAGCUCAGUUUCUUUAAACUGUAAAAUGGAGAUAAUGAUAUAAGUUUGAAAAUUGAGUGAGUGAAUUUAAUACCAACGUGUGAAGUUGGUAUUAAAUGUAUGAUUCCCAUAUAAAAAAAUUGGAGUAUCAUAGUGCUCUCAUAUAGUAGUAAUGCAUCUCUGCUGGGGAUGUAAACUGCCAGGUGAGGUGGGAGCUAGCUCCUUCGGGUAACGGAUAGAAGACCUCAGCAUCACAUGAGUGGUAACUGCUGCAGCUGGUAGAGUUAGAUGUUUGGGAGAAGGAAAUAAUCUCAUAUUUUUGUACACUUGAUUCUCUAGCU
rnacentral:lncRNA from 1 species